UUAGACAGGGGCCCGCACAAGCGGCGGAGCAUGCGGAUUAAUUCGAUGCAACGCGAAGAACCUUACCAAGGCUUGACAUACACCGGUAACGCCCAGAGAUGGGUGCCCCUUUGUGGUCGGUGUACAGGUGGUGCAUGGUUGUCGUCAGCUCGUGUCGUGAGAUGUUGGGUUAAGUCCCGCAACGAGCGCAACCCUCGUCCUAUGUUGCCAGCGGGUCAUGCCGGGGACUCAUGGGAGACUGCCGGGGUCAACUCGGAGGAAGGUGGGGAUGACGUCAAAUCAUCAUGCCCCUUAUGUCUUGGGCUUCACGCAUGCUACAAUGGCCGGUACAAAGGGCUGCGAUACCGCGAGGUGGAGCGAAUCCCAGAAAGCCGGUCUCAGUUCGGAUUGGGGUCUGCAACUCGACCCCAUGAAGUCGGAGUCGCUAGUAAUCGCAGAUCAGCAACGCUGCGGUGAAUACGUUCCCGGGCCUU
rnacentral:rRNA from 1 species